UACGAAGGGGGCUAGCGUUGCUCGGAAUUACUGGGCGUAAAAGCGUGCGUAGGCGGUGAGUUAAGUCUGUCGUGAAAUCCCCCGGGCUCAACCUGGGAAUGGCGAUGGAUACUGGCUCGCUAGAGUGUGAUAGAGGAUGGUGGAAUUCCCGGUGUAGCGGUGAAAUGCGUAGAGAUCGGGGAGGAACAUCAGUGGCGGAAGGCGGCCCAUCUGGGAUCAACACUGACGCUGGAGGCACGAAAGCGUGGGGAGCAAACAGGG
rnacentral:rRNA from 1 species